CAAAGGGCUCACGGAGGAUACCUAGGCACACAGAGGCGAUGAAGGACGUGGUUACCUGCGAUAAGUCUCGGGGAGUUGGAAGCACACUUUGAUCCGGGAAUUUCCGAAUGGGGCAACCCCUUGAACGACCAACUGAAUAUAUAGGUUGGUGCGAGCUAACCCAGCGAACUGAAACAUCUUAGUAGCUGGAGGAAGAGAAAGUAAAUAACGACUCCCUCAGUAGCGGCGAGCGAACGGGGAAUAGCCCAAACCGAUAGUCUUGACUAUCGGGGUUGUGGGACAGCAAUAUGGAUCAACAAUUCUAGAAGAAACGUUUGAAUGGCGUGCCAUAGAGGGUGAAAGCCCCGUAAUUGAAAGAUGAGUUGACCUAGCUGUAUCCCGAGUAGCACGGAGCACGUGGAAUUCCGUGUGAAUCUGCGAGGACCACCUCGUAAGGCUAAGUACUACUGUGUGACCGAUAGUGAAACAGUACCGCGAGGGAAAGGUGAAAAGAACCCCGGGAGGGGAGUGAAAUAGAACAUGAAACCGUGAGCUUACAAGCAAUGGGAGCCCGACUAAUCGGGUGACCGUGUGCCUGUUGAAGAAUGAGCCGGCGACUUAUAGGCACUGGCGGGUUAAACCGGAAAUGGUGGAGCCACAGCGAAAGCGAGUCUUAAUAGGGCGUUUGUCAGUGUUUAUAGACCCGAACCCUGGUGAUCUAACCAUGGCCAGGAUGAAGCUUGGGUGAUACCAAGUGGAGGUCCGAACCGACUGAAGUUGAAAAUUCAGCGGAUGAGCUGUGGUUAGGGGUGAAAUGCCAAUCGAACCAGGAGCUAGCUGGUUCUCCCCGAAAUACGUUGAGGCGUAGCGUCUAGUGCUCCAGCAGGGGGGUAAAGCAACCAUUUCGGUGCGGGCUGCGAAAGCGGUACCAAAUCGAUAUGAACUCUGAAUACCCUGUGUGUAACUAGGCAGUCAGACUGUGGGGGAUAAGCUCCAUAGUCAAGAGGGAAACAGCCCAGACCGCCAGCUAAGGUCCCAAAAUUAACGCUAAGUGAUAAAGGAGGUGGGAUUGCCCAGACAACCAGGAGGUUUGCCUAGAAGCAGCCAUCCUCAAAGGAGUGCGUAAUAGCUCACUGGUCGAGCGAUCCUGCGCCGAAAAUGAAUGGGGCUAAGCGUUAUACCGAAGCUGCGGAUAAAUUUAUUUAUGGUAGGGGAGCGUUCUAUGUUGGGUGAAGCGUUAGCGUAAGCGGACGUGGACGGCAUAGAAGUGAGAAUGUCGGCUUGAGUAGCGAAAACAUGGGUGAGAAUCCCAUGCCCCGAAACCCUAAGGGUUCCUCCGGCAGGCUCGUCCGCGGAGGGUUAGUCUGGACCUAAGGCGAGGCCGAAAGGCGUAGUCGAUGGAUAACAGGUCAAUAUUCCUGUACCAGUUAUGUUUUGGGAAGGGGGACGGAGAAGGCUAGCCAGGCCAGAUGUUGGUUACUGGUUCAAGCGUUCAAGGCUUUGAGAGAUGGAGAAAACAUCUUGAGCUGAGACGUGAGUACGAGCUGCUACGGCAGCGAAGUUGGUGAUGUCAUGCUUCCAAGAAAAGCCCUAUACCCGUUAAGACAUAAAUGCCAGUACCCGAAACCGACACAGGUGGGGUGGUAGAGAAUACCGAGGGGCGCGAGAUAACUCUCUCUAAGGAACUCGGCAAAAUGGCCCCGUAACUUCGGGAGAAGGGGUGCCAGCGAGAGCUGGUCGCAGUGAAGAGGCGCAAGCGACUGUUUACCAAAAACACAGGUCUCCGCUAAGUCGCAAGACGAUGUAUGGGGGCUGACACCUGCCCAGUGCCGGAAGGUUAAGGAAGCUGGUUAGCUUUUAGCAAAGCUAGCGACUGAAGCCCCGGUGAACGGCGGCCGUAACUAUAACGGUCCUAAGGUAGCGAAAUUCCUUGUCGGGUAAGUUCCGACCCGCACGAAAGGUGUAACGAUUUGCGCGCUGUCUCGGAGAGAGGCUCGGCGAAAUAGAAUUGUCUGUGAAGAUGCGGACUACAUACACCCGGACAGAAAGACCCUAUGAAGCUUUACUGUAGUUUGAUAUUGUGCUCGGGCUCUAAUUGCGCAGAAUAGGUGGGAGACGUUGAAAUAGUACUUGUGGGUAUUAUUGAGUCAUCGGUGAGAUACCACUCUAUUAGAGCUAGGGUUCUAACGCUUACCCGUUAUCCGGGGAGCGGACAGUAUCUGAUGGGCAGUUUGACUGGGGCGGUCGCCUCCUAAAAGGUAACGGAGGCGCACAAAGGUUCCCUCAGGCUGGUUGGAAAUCAGUCGUUGAGUGCAAAAGCAGAAGGGAGCUUGACUGUGAGACCUACAAGUCGAACAGGGACGAAAGUCGGUUUUAGUGAUCCGACGGUUCUGCGUGGAAGGGCCGUCGCUCAACGGAUAAAAGUUACUCUAGGGAUAACAGGCUGAUCUCCCCCAAGAGUUCACAUCGACGGGGAGGUUUGGCACCUCGAUGUCGGCUCAUCGCAACCUGGGGCUGAAGUCGGUCCCAAGGGUUGGGCUGUUCGCCCAUUAAAGCGGUACGCGAGCUGGGUUCAGAACGUCGUGAGACAGUUCGGUCCAUAUCCGGUGUAUGCGCAGGAAUAUUGAGAGGAUUUCUCCCUAGUACGAGAGGACCGGGAGGAACGCACCUCUGGUGUGCCAGUUAUCGUGCCAACGGUAAACGCUGGGUAGCCAUGUGCGGAGUGGAUAACCGCUGAAAGCAUCUAAGUGGGAAGCCCACCUCAAGAUGAGUAUUGCCAUGGCUUAAGCCAGUAAGGUCACGGGAAGAACACCCGUUGAUAGGCUCUACGUGGAAGCUUGGUAACAAGUGCAGCGGAGGAGUACUAAUAGACCGAGGGCUUGACCA
rnacentral:rRNA from 1 species